GUCUUUCUAGUGAGGAGCCACCAGAGGGCGCAAGAGACCACACGGACGGAAAAGGCCGCUCGCCCGGGAUUGCGCGCGGAAGCGGACCUCUGUUCUCGCGAAGAGUUUGACUCUUUCAUCGACAAUAAUCUGGAGCCCAACCUGGGGCCUCAGAGAAGACUCAGGACCCUAAAGGAAUUGCCCGAAACCGGAGCCAAGGUACCAGCAGGGGCCCAUUGAAGCCUCACCAAGUUCAAGCUUCUUCUUCAGUGGAACUGGUUACGAAAACAGAAAAGGAGAAUGGCUAUGCGCUCAAACCACUUGGAACCCUGAUUUUUCCCCAACUUGUCCUCUAAUAUUCACCCCCAUCACCCCCAUGGGACACAGCAUCUGGCUUUGCUGCCCCUGCUGGAUAGUAAAUCCCAGAUAGCGUGCCUGUUGUUGGCAAAUCUGGGCCCUCUUUUUAGAGACCUUGGGUUCACAGGUCUCCAGGUGUCUGAGCAACAAGUCAGUUCCCUGGGCACAUCCAGCUGCUGCCAGGAGCCCCAGCAAAAGUCAUCCACGUACUGAAGCAGCACGAAACCUCGGUCCUUGGCGGGGAACCUCUGGAGAUCCUGAGCCAAUGCGUCUCUGAAGAUGGUGGGGGAGUUCUUGAACCCCUGUAGAAGCUGAGUCCAGGUGUACUGUGUGGUUACACCUGAUUCUGGAUCUUCCCACUGAAAGGCAAACAGUUUCUGGCUCUCAGGGGCUAACUGAAUACUGAAGAAAGCAUCCCUUAAGUUUAAGCUUUAGACUCAGGCUGAAGGAAAUUUGUGUCUCUAACCAAAGGUUACAUUUGAUUGGUUCGGUCAUUUGGAAUUAUACAACUAGAUCUUUCAAGUAAAAAAAUCCUAUUCACCACUACUGAAUGUAACUUUACAUCAUAAACAUUUAGUCCAAUGGGAUAAUUAUCUUAUUAAAAAUAAAUUAAAAUUGUUUCAUCUUUAAGCAAUUGGCACAGUGUAUUCUCCAUAUAUUUUCUCUACUUGGUGGCAGUAUAAACUGGAAGUACAGGUUAAGCCACCUCUUGGACACUUGGAAAGUUGAAGACAGGCAGCAGAAAGGCCUGUCACAGCUGAUGUUAUGACUUGUUAAUAGGCCCAGCCCAACUGCCCUUGCAGUAGUUCGGGGAAUUAAAAAAGGCAUCGUCAGGGGUAUACAGCAAGAAUAUUUCUUGCGUGACAGGAUUGGAAAAAUAAAGAGGGUUUCUUUGAAAAUUGUGCUUGAUGGCCCAGAUUGAAAUAUAUGCCAAAGGAUAAAAAUUCUUUUUUUGGCCAGGUGCGGUGGUUCACCCCUGUAAUCCCACCUCUUUGGGAGGCAGAGGUGGGCAGAUCACCUGAGGUCGGGAGUUCGAGAGCAGCCUGACCAAUAUGGAGAAACUCCAUCUCUACUAAAAAUACAAAAUUGGCUGGGUGUGGUGGCACAUGCCUGUAAUCUCAGGAAGCUGAGAUAGGAGAAUCGCUUGAACCCAGGAGGCGGAGGUUGAAGUGAGCUAAGAUCAUGCCAUUGCACUUCAGCCUGGGCAACAAGAG